rnacentral:rRNA from 1 species
UACAGAGGUCUCAAGCGUUGUUCGGAUUCAUUGGGCGUAAAGGGUGUGUAGGUGGCGCGCUAAGUCGGGUGUGAAAUUUCGGAGCUUAAACUCCGAAACUGCAUUCGAUACUGGCGUGCUUGAGGACUGGAGAGGAGACUGGAAUUCAUGGUGUAGCAGUGAAAUGCGUAGAGAUCAUGAGGAAGACCAGUGGCGAAGGCGGGUCUCUGGACAGUUCCUGACACUGAGACACGAAGGCCAGGGGGAGCAAACGGG